UCCGGUUGAUCCUGCCGGACCCGACUGCUAUCAGAGUGGGACUAAGCCAUGCGAGUUAACGCAGCAAUGCGUGGCAUACGGCUCAGUAACACGUGGCUAACCUACCCUUGGGACGGGGACAACCCCGGGAAACUGGGGCUAAUCCCCGAUAGGUGACGACCCCUGGAAUGGGUCCUCGCCGAAAGGGCGCCUAGACCAUGCUUCUAGGCGCUGCCCAAGGAUGGGGCCGCGGCCGAUCAGGUUGUUGGUGAGGUAACGGCUCACCAAGCCUAAGACCGGUACGGGCCGUGAGAGCGGGAGCCCGGAGAUGGACACUGAGACAAGGGUCCAGGCCCUACGGGGCGCAGCAGUCGCGAAACCUCCGCAAUACGCGAAAGCGUGACGGGGCCACCCCGAGUGCCGUCCGCUGAGGACGGCUUUUCCCAGUGUAGACAGCUGGGGAAUAAGGGGAGGGCAAGUCGGGUGUCAGCCGCCGCGGUAAUACCCGCUCCCCGAGUGGUGGGGAUGCUUAUUGGGCCUAAAGCAUCCGUAGCCGGCUGGACAAGUCCCCUGUUAAAUCCAGCGAUUUAAUCGCUGGACUGCGGGGGAUACUGUCCAGCUAGGGGGCGAGAGAGGCCGGCGGUAUUCUCGGGGUAGGGGUGAAAUCUUAUAAUCCCGGGAGGACCACCAGUGGCGAAGGCUGCCGGCUGGAACGCGCCCGACGGUGAGGGAUGAGAGCUGGGGGAGCGAACCGGAUUAGAUACCCGGGUAGUCCCAGCUGUAAACGAUGCGGGCUGGGUGUUGGCACGGCUACAAGCCGUGUCAGUGCCGCAGGGAAGCCGUUAAGCCCGCCGCCUGGGGAGUACGGCCGCAAGGCUGAAACUUAAAGGAAUUGGCGGGGGAGCACCACAAGGGGUGAAGCUUGCGGUUUAAUUGGAGUCAACGCCGGAAACCUUACCGGGGGCGACAGCAGGAUGAAGGCCAGAUUGAAGGUCUUGCCAGACAAGCUGAGAGGAGGUGCAUGGCC
rnacentral:rRNA from 1 species